rfam:Archaeon D22 isolate D22 NODE_23_length_2908_cov_5.64437, whole genome shotgun sequence.
GGGCUCGUAGCUCAGUGGGAGAGCGCUGCCCUUGCAAGGCGGAGGCCGUGGGUUCAAAUCCCGCCGAGUCCA